CCGGGACCUGAGCCAGGAGGAGCCAGCACCGGGAGGCAGAGAGAGGCCUGGUGGUGCCUAGCACCUGUGUAGUGAUGGGCUAGGGCUUCCUGGUUGGGGAAGGGAAGAAGGCAUCUCUGGAGGUGGGGACAGGCACAUGCACGCUGAUUUCCGGUUGGAGCUGGGCUUGCCAUGAGGACAGUGGGCAGUUGAGGGAGCGUGUUAGGUGGAGAGGGUAUGCUCCUACCUGUGAUUUAGAAAACACACUGCAUUGUCAGGCAUGGCUGGGAAGAGUCAGGGC
rnacentral:lncRNA from 1 species